ACAGUGCUGUGCCCCUGCCCCUCCUCCGAGUUAAAGUCCGUGGCUGACACCCGCCCUCUGCUCCCUCCAUGCCAAACCCUGGGCCUUGCAGACCACACAGUGCAGAGCCAGAUGGCUGCCUGGUGGCUGCCAGGCGGAGAAGUCACCACUUGUUACAGGGGCAUCUGUGGCCAGGAGUCAGGUGGGGAGUUCCUAAUGUCUCUGGCAGACGUGGAGGGCCCCUCCGGUGGGAUUCCCGCCCUCCCUGGAUGCAUUCAGACUGUGCCAUUUGAUCACUGGAUUUGCAAUUCCAGAAGCAAAAUAACGAGCCAGAAUUGUAUGAAAAUGUCACUCUGCCCUGAUGAUCAGUACCUAGCACUGGGGAGAGAAGUCAAACUCCAGAAGGCAAAGUGGAUUUUUGUUUAAAGGAACAUUUUCAAAGUUAAUAUGAAAACACACAAGUAUAAAAUUAAACGACGACAACCACCCCAGUGGGAAUCUGUGUGUAAUGUGCCAGCGUGCUCGGAGGUGAGCCGUUCAGUCCCCGCCCCUCCCUGAGGCCCCGGACAACCAAGGCAUUGUGUGCGACUACAGGCUGCCCUGAGAGACCCUCCCCGAACAGGAUCUCAGUCCUGGGCGAAGGCGGGACGGCCGCCCCCUCCAGCUCUUCCCCUCCGUUCCUUGCCAGUGUUCCUGACCUGCCCAUUCCCUUCCCUCUAGCUUCUAGUUAAGGGCUGGUAAUUUGUUUUCUCUAAAGGCCAUGCCUUAUCUGUUCAGCUGCUAUGACAGCCUUUGGGCUGGGGCAUUGGCUUUUUUCCUGCUCUUGGAUUUAAACUAAUGUGCAGAUUCUUUCUGUGUCACACACAAGUCUGCUGGACCUGAGACUGAAAUAGGCUGUCAGCUCCCCCGGUCUCCGGGUUGCCGACUCACAGGCAGGUCUCGGAUCCUGCCUGCCUUCAUAAACACACCAGCCUCUUUUUGGUGAUACAUUCCUCAAGGGCGGAGACCGAAUUGUCUUGGUUGACGCUGUGGCACGAGGAUGUCCAUGGGCGGAUGAAUGGUUCCGUGGGCCCGUGCGCCCGGGGCUGGCAUUAUAUGGGAAGUGACCACGUCUUGCAGAAGACGGCAGACUUGCCAGGGUGAGAGACUUCCUAUGAAGCCACGUUGUCCUUGGGCACUGGAGGCUGGCCGGUGCCGGACGAAAUGGAGCCGAGCUCGCUGACUGGCUUUCCCACAGACGAGGCGCAGCCGUGGUUCCGAGGGCCUUGCACUGUCCUCCUUCCAUGUCUUCUGCCUCCUGCCUCCAUUCUUCCUCCCGCACACGGACUGAGCCGGUCUCCAUCAGGGGUUUCGAGUAGAAUAUUUCACUCUCCUAUUGAGUUCCAAAUUUUAUUUACAAGUCUCCAAAGGACAUGACAUGAAAUCAACUGAAGAAAGGGGUUCCAAAAUAAUGGUAAACUUUGGUAACCUAGGAGGCUGUUCAUUAACAGAUUAGUUAACAAACAUGUUUUGUGAGUCUUCUUUGAGACCUGUGUUAUAGUAAAUGACUGAGUUACAAAAGUAUAGCAUUAUCUCUUUGUUCCCUAUGUAAUUAAUUUUUAUUAAUUACAUGUCAUAUGAAAUGCAGAAGAUGGUGCUGGACCUGGAAAGUCUGACAAGCUAGAGCGGAGAGUAUGGGGAAGGAAGGAAAGGAGGACGUCAGCAGGAAACUUGCUGUUUUCUGGUUUGAGGUACUGAGUGCCCACAAUGAGACAUGAACUAAGAUUCAUUGAGCUCAUUCCUGCUUAGCUUUAUUUUUUUUUAAGAUUUAAAAAAUUUAUUUAUCUUUAGAGGGGAAGGGAAGGAAAGAGGGAGAGAGAAAUAUCAAUAUAUGGUUGCCUCUCGUGGGUCCCUUGCUGGGAACUGGCCUGCAACUCAGGCAUGUGCCCUGACUGGGAAUCGAACCGCAAUGCUUUGGUUGGCAGGCCCGAGCUCAAUCCACCAAGCUACACCAGCCAGGGCCCUGCUUAGCUUUCUUUUGUGUGGCUGCCUGGAAUGCUAUUCCCCCAAAUAUCUUCAUGUCCAACUCUCUUACCUUCUUUAAGAUUUUCUGCAAAUGUCACUUUCUCAACAUGGUCUCCUUAUCUGCUAUGUUCCGAAUUUUGUGUCUCCCCCCAAAUCCACAUUUGAAGCCCUUACUUCCAAAGUGAUGGUAUGUGGAGAUGGCCCUGUUGGGAGGUGAUCAGGUCAUGAGGGUGGAGCCCUCAUGAAUGGGAUUAGUGCCCCUGUACAAAGACUCCAGAGAGCUCGCUAGCCUCUUCCACUAUGUAAGGACUUGGUGAGAAGACUGUCAUGAAUGAACCAAGAUGUGUGCUCUCACCGAACACUGAAUCUUCUGGCACCCUGAUCUCAGAUUUCCAGCCUCUGAAACUGAGAAAUAAAUGGCUGUUGUUUAUAAGCCACCCAAUUGAUGGUAUUCUGUUAUAUCCCCCUGGAAUGGACUGACACUCACCAUGCUAUUUACAAUUGCGCACCUCACUUCGGCCACAUUCUUCACCAUGUACUAAGUUCCCUUUAUCCCUUCCAACUUUUUCUUCUUUUUACUGCCCUUGUCAUCUUCCAAACACACAUUUACUUUGUACCUCAGUUAUGUUUUUUGCCCCUGUUAUGAAUGUACACUUAAUAAGGAUAUAUAUUCACUGUUUUCUUCACUGAUGCAUUUUACAUGCCCAGAUAAGUGCUUGCAUAUGUUAGCUACUCAUUAACAGGUGCUGAACAAACCCAUGAUAUGGUCACAUAUUUUUAGUGAAUCUACUUUUGUCUAUCUUUAGAAGCAUCAUUACAUUGAAAUCAGUAAAUAAUUUACUUAUGGACAUCUGUUAGUUGGUGCUUGUUCCUUUUGUUUCCUGGUUUUUAAGUAGCUAAGAGAGAAUCAUUGGGGUGGUAAUUUUAUUGCCAAUGGAAAUACUAAAUUUGCAUCCAAGUGUCAGGUGUCUACUCUCUCUGGAUGUUCUGGUUCACACUUCAGGUGCUAAAGACAAGAAAUCAGUGGGAGAAGCAGGAGUCAGGAUGGGAUUCAAAUGCUGAACUUUAGGUGAGUGAAGGCUAUAGGAAGCCCCAUGGGCAGAGACACAGAGUCGGUGAGAAGAUUUGCCAAUGGGUCAUGGGGAACUAAGGUGAAAUAGGAGGGAGGGGCUGGAUGCUGUAAACCUGGAAAGCUGGGCAGGGGAGUUUUGGUGUUCUGUGCAGAGACAGCGGUGUGGCCAGGUGAAAGCUUGUUUUAGAAGAGUCUAGUGGCUGCUAUACAUCGGCUGGGCUGCAAAAUGGAGUCAGACAAAGAGAAACCUUCUGCAAAGUUGUUACCCACAUGCAAGUGAAAGACUGAACAAGGUGAGAGUAAAGGGUUAUCUGAGAGAUUUUCAGAGAAACAACAAAAUUUUUCCCAAUUUUUAUUAUGAAAAUUUUCAAACAUACAGAAAUUUGUGAAGAAUGGAAUAUUGCUAUAACUAUAUACAUUUGUAUGUAUUUGUGUGUGCAUAUAUGUGUGUGUGUGUGUGUGUGUGUGUGUGUGUGUGUAUAUAUAAUGGCCUAGAUUCAACAACUAAGACAACAGAACUCUAAUUGGGUUUUAUUUCAUUUACUAAGCUUCUAUAAGUGGCAGGGUACAAUAGGUUCAUUAUCUAAAUAGAAUCAUAUUUUUCCAAUUAGACCUCAGAAUCAACAUGUGAUCAUAUUUUCUCAUUAUAAUUUCAGUACAGUCAAAAUACCAAUACCAUUUUUAGUAUACUUACUCCUUGAAUAAGAACCUCCAUGUGAAGUCACAAUUCAUUAACUUAAUGAGGAAGGCGGCGUAACGCUGUUUGGCUCCAUGCAUCUGUGACUGUGAUCUUUGCCAGCAAAAUAUUUUUUAAAUGUU